GGUGGUGCAGUUGGUAGCACUGUUGCCUUGCAACAAGAAGGUCCUGGGUUUGAUUCCCGGCGUCU